rnacentral:rRNA from 1 species
AGCGAAGCGGGAAGAGCUCAAAUUUAUAAUCUGGCACCUUCGGUGUCCGAGUUGUAAUCUCUAGAAAUGUUUUCCGCGUUGGACCGCACACAAGUCUGUUGGAAUACAGCGGCAUAGUGGUGAGACCCCCGUAUAUGGUGCGGACGCCCAGCGCUUUGUGAUACAUUUUCGAAGAGUCGAGUUGUUUGGGAAUGCAGCUCAAAUUGGGUGGUAAAUUCCAUCUAAAGCUAAAUAUUGGCGAGAGACCGAUAGCGAACAAGUACCGUGAGGGAAAGAUGAAAAGCACUUUGGAAAGAGAGUUAACAGUACGUGAAAUUGUUGGAAGGGAAACGCUUGAAGUCAGACUUGCUUGCCGAGCAAUCGGUUUGCAGGCCAGCAUCAGUUUUCCGGGAUGGAUAAUGGUAGAGAGAAGGUAGCAGUUUCGGCUGUGUUAUAGCUCUCUGCUGGAUACAUCUUGGGGGACUGAGGAACGCAGUGUGCCUUUGGCGGGGGUUUCGACCUCUUCACACUUAGGAUGCUGGUGGAAUGGCUUUAAACGACCCGUCUUGAAACACGGACC